rnacentral:rRNA from 1 species
CCCUUAGAUGUUCUGGGCUGCACGCGCGCUACACUGAAGCGUUCAACGAGUAUUCACCUUGCCCGGGAGGGUUGGGUAAUCUUUUGAAAACGCUUCGUGAUGGGGAUAGAUUAUUGCAAUUAUUCAUCUUCAACGAGGAAUUCCUAGUAAACGCAAGUCAUCAGCUUGCAUUGAUUACGUCCCUGCCCUUUGUACACACCGCCCGUCGCACCUACCGAUUGAAUGGUCCGGUGAAAUUCUCGGACGCGGACUAGCGAUGUUAAUUCGGAGCUUGACUGUGAAAGUUAAUUAAACCUUACCAUUUAGAGGAAGGUGAAGUCGUAACA